UAUUACUGUAAAGCGCCAGGGCUAUGACGUCCGAAACAAUCAUAGCUGACGAGGAGGAGGUUUAUCGAGUUUGAUCGGCGGAUGCCUCCCGGUUGUACAUCUCAACCGAAUGUGUUUAUUCGAAAGCAAAAAGGCAACUUUUUGUACAAGAAUAAAGACUAGAUGCCA
rnacentral:ncRNA from 2 species